AGGGGGCGGGGGUAAGGGGAUCUGGCUGAACCGUUAAAUGUUUUCUCCGCCAUGAUCCAACAGAAAAAUCUGUGAGCAGCGAUAACUUAGAUUUGUUGCAAUGAGGCUGUCAGUGUAGCGACUGCGUGGACAUCCCCCUGGCUCAGAAUGCAUCAGUACUCACAGAUGAGCUCUGAGGAGAACUGGGGAAGCACCGAGGGUCAGUGACAACACGAACUGGCAUGCUGCCCCAACGUACUCUGGCCUGGGAGCAUACAGACUGGAUGUGAGGAUUUAUUUUGAACAUGGCAGACUGGAGGAUUCAGCAUAAUGAAAGCUCUCAGGAGCGAUGGGCUCACCACAGGUCCAGUGGACCAUAGUUGGGGAUAUGUGUGACCCAUGGCCAUUGGGACUCACCAAUUCCCAGCUUCCAGUCUUCCAACUCAUCUAUAUUAAACUCGCUGAAGCCCUACUUCUUCACGAUGUGGAUCUCCUGCUGCCGGAGAACUUGCACUCGCACUUGUCUUAAUGAUGGGCCUCAGUCUUGUGUGUGUGCGCAGGUCUGCAGCUUGGUGCUUAUGGACACGGUGACCUCACCAAUGUGAAAAUGACCACCAUGCUCUAGACCCUCCCAAGGGCACAGCACACAUCUCUGGAGCCUAGAUUGGAAAGAGCAGGAAAUAAAGGCAUAUGAGUAUCUACC
rnacentral:sRNA from 1 species